rnacentral:rRNA from 1 species
CCUACGGGAGGCAGCAGUAGGGAAUCUUCCACAAUGGGCGAAAGCCUGAUGGAGCAACGCCGCGUGGGUGAAGAAGGUCUUCGGAUCGUAAAACACUGUUGUUAGAGAAGACAGUGCGUGAGAGUAACUGUUCACGUUUCGACGGUAUCUAACCAGAAAGCCACGGCUAACUACGUGCCAGCAGCCGCGGUAAUACGUAGGUGGCAAGCGUUAUACGGAUUUAUUGGGCGUAAAGGGAACGCAGGCGGUCUUUUAAGUCUGAUGUGAAAGCCUUCGGCUUAACCGGAGUAGUGCAUUGGAAACUGGGAGACUUGAGUGCAGAAGAGGAGAGUGGAACUCCAUGUGUAGCGGUGAAAUGCGUAGAUAUAUGGAAGAACACCAGUGGCGAAAGCGGCUCUCUGGUCUGUAACUGACGCUGAGGUUCGAAAGCGUGGGUAGCAAACAGGAUUAGAUACCCCGGUAGUC